ensembl:lncRNA
GUCCGGGUCCUGCGGCGGGCGGCUGGAUGGCGAGCGGAGACGGGAGGCCUGGGCUUGGGCAGCGGUGGCGGUGUCCUGGCCCCGCCGGUGACGGAGGGCUUUGAUGAGGCCCGGCGGCCGCGUGCUUGCCAGGAAGGCCCGGGGCUUGAGGCCCUGGAAGGCCUGGCCCGUUCAGGAGUCCCGGCUGUUUGGGGGAAUGUCCCACGCCCUGUGGGGAUUUGAGCCGUGUCUCCCGGCCGACUUGGGUGUCCCGGUUGGUGUGUGGUCGGGACUGGGAGGGGCUUGGUGCGGGCGGGAACCGCCGGGUAGCGACCACGUCUCGUCAGGGGGUUCGUGCCUGCUGCUGGGCACGGGAACGGCUCCGGGGGGGUCUUACGGGCGCUGAGGGGAUUCCGCAUCAUGGAGAGGUCAAGGGGAGUUGGUGGCCGUCACCCUUCGUCAGGGCAGGGUAGCAUCAGUGCGCCCGUGCUGGGGUUCCUGGAGAGCCGGCUGGCACGGACAGACUCUUGUGAGGGCAAGUGGCUAAUCGUGCGUCGGAUGGGUCCAGCAAAGGAGAGAAAGCUUCGGUGCGCGCGCGCUCGCCAGGGAAAGGGUGACAGCGGGUGGGACCCAGAGGGAGAGAACAAAGGAAGAGAGAGGGUUUCCGCAGGGGCGGUGAGUCCUGGCGGAAGUCCUGAGGCAGAGGAGGUGCCAGGGGUUUGGGUUUCCCGGUCGUGUCGGGGGUGUGGCGCAGGUUGCCCCAGUGGGCCUGAAUGUGCCUCCGUGGGGCACCUUGUUGCCGUGUUGGGGGGCGGGGAGCCGGCCUUGGGGAUCCAUCUUUCGGGCCCUGGGACGUGGGAGAAGAAUGCCGGGGCCUCUCUCUGUGCCCCUGGCACGCCUCUGUGCAGGCCGGGCCUGCACCCCCCCCCGCGCCCGUCCCCCAGGCAGGGUCCGUGUGGCUGCAGACACCCAGAGAGAGGGGAGGCUGGGGAGGCUGGGGAGCCGUGGCAGCCCGAUGCAGUGCGGGUCUCCAGGUGGAGGGGCCCUGGUCCCCUGGCGCCAGCGUGGCCCUUCCUCCUUGUGGAAACCCUUGUGGUGUGUGUGCUCUCUCGCCCUGACCCAGGAGAGCAGCAUGGCGGACCCCUGAUCUUGUGGCGUGCCACCGCGCGAGGCCGAGGAGCUCCCGCAGCCCAGUGGGCGUGGCGUCCUUGUCGCGGCUCUGUGGAGACCUGGCGAUGGAGAGCAGCAUGGCGGACCCCUGAUCUUGUGGCGUGCCACCGCGCGAGGCCGAGGAGCUCCCGCAGACCAGUGGGCGUGGCGUCCUUGUCGCGGCUCUGUGGAGACCUGGCGAUGGAGAGCAGCAUGGCGGACCCCUGAUCUUGUGGCGUGCCACCGCGCGAGGCCGAGGAGCUCCCGCAGCCCAGUGGGCGUGGCGUCCUUGUCGCGGCUCUGUGGAGACCUGGCGAUGGUGAGCGGCCCCUGUCCUCAGUGGUGGAGAACUCGCCCUUGGGGCGCUCGUCUGUCCGGAGCCCCGGGCCAGCCCCGCUUCUCGCGGGCUUUGGCCCCGGCAGGCCAGCUCCGGGGGCGUGAGGGGGAGCGUCCCGUCCUGCCCAGUGGCUCGUCUGUCUGGGCACGCCCCCAAACGCUGCCGUGAUGGAGCGGGUGGGAUGUCCAGGUGCGGAGGCCGUGAAUUUGCCUUGCGGCGGCGGAGCCCGUGCUCGGAUCGAUGAUGACUCCCUCUAAAGCAUUCCUUGGAAAUCUGAACAAAAUGAGUGAGAACUCACUACCGUCUCCUCAUCGAAACUGAGGUCCGGCACGUGGCGGCCACCGGGGGCUCGGGGGUAGAUGGGCCCUUGGCCUUGGGGCCUCUGGUGUCAGCAGCCACUCGGGUGAGGUCUGGGGAAGGCGGCCGCCUGCCGGGCCCAGGAAGCAUGGGGCCCGUCGCCCGGCGCUGGCCUCGGGGGAGAGGCCGCGUGCCCGAGCGUGCUGGAGAUCCCGGGCGGCCUCCCGCCGGCCUUGGGGGGUUUCGCAAGCCGUCGCGGGGGCCGAAAUUUGGGCCCGGCCCGCGAGGCAAGUGUGCGGCCCUAGGGCCCCAGGGGGCGUCCUGGCCCAGGCCGGGCCCUUCUCAGGAUGCUGUGGGGAGACGGGAUCCCGGCAGGGUAGUGUUCUCUUUCUGCUCUGGGGACCCCUGAGGGCCACCUGCUGCAGGGGGUCUGUGGUAGCGGGGGCCCUUGGAUCAGGGCCGUCCCCCAUGGGAGGGGGGCAGCCUGGGAACCCCUGAGGGCGCUCCCCUGGGACGUCCAGGGAUGUUGGGGCGGAGGCUGGGGCUGGGUGGCGAGAAGGGGGCAGCUGAAGUGGUGAGCGACAGGCGGGCAGA